GAUGAAACUCUAAGAAACGAAGCUCUCUUCAUUGCACUGCAUACCACCAGCGCUGUCAUCAUCGUAGCCAGCACAACGACCACCACCACCACCGUCGUAGCAGCACUAACCACCACCGUCGCAGCAGUACCAACUACCAUAACUAGCAGUACCACCAAAUAACGUUAUUCCUAAUCAAAAUCCCUACUAUGUUGCUUAGAUUCCGAUAAUCAUUCCUUCACCACCAACACCAUCACCAUCAUUGGAACCAGCAGCAUGAACCUCCUCCAGCACCUACUGUCAUUCAUCUCUACCGUAAUCAUUAUUUGAGGGAAAAAUGGUAGAAAAAAUGUUUUGGACAAGAUGGGUGCAAAUAGACUAAAUGCUCAUCUCAAAGAACCCAUGCUGGGCCUCGCAUGUGGUUGAUGGAAGUCAAAUAUCACAACCGAAUGAGGUUGCGAAAUUAUCUUGCAAGUCCCACCGUGCCCAAAUGUUAAGUUGAAUGAGAAAACAGUUUGAAGAAAUUUAAGCAAUGAAGCAAGCUCGACUUCGGCGGUGAAUUGAUACCACGACGGAUGGCAGUCAAUAAUCUUGCUCGCCUUUGACAGUUGAUUGUUUUUUCUAUUUUACAUACUGACAAGUCCGAACUCGGGUUAGCGGUGUCAUCACCAAUAACUUCGACAGUUAAUUGAUAACACAACGGAUAGCAGUCAACAAUCCAGUCUCUAUUGAAGCUGUAGAAUAAUUUAUGUAAAUGACUACUUUAAACUGAGACGUUAUUGAAUGAAAAGUUUGAUUCCUAUGUCUUAAUGUUUAUCAGUGUGGAACUAAGUAAAUGCAAUGAGAUUGUUUUUGUUUUUUCCGGAA